rnacentral:rRNA from 1 species
UUUUAUUUGAGAGUUUGAUCCUGGCUCAGGAUGAACGCUGGCGGCGUGCCUAACACAUGCAAGUUGAGCGAUUUACUUCGGUAAAGAGCGGCGGACGGGUGAGUAACGCGUGGGUAACCUACCCUGUACACACGGAUAACAUACCGAAAGGUAUGCUAAUACGGGAUAAUAUAUUUGAGAGGCAUCUCUUAAAUAUCAAAGGUGAGCCAGUACAGGAUGGACCCGCGUCUGAUUAGUUAGUUGGUAAGGUAACGGCUUACCAAGGCGACGAUCAGUAGCCGACCUGAGAGGGUGAUCGGCCACAUUGGAACUGAGACACGGUCCAAACUCCUACGGGAGGCAGCAGUGGGGAAUAUUGCACAAU